UACGAAGGGGGCUAGCGUUGCUCGGAAUUACUGGGCGUAAAGCGCACGUAGGCGGCUUCUUAAGUCGGAGGUGAAAUCCUGGAGCUCAACUCCAGAACUGCCUUCGAUACUGGGAAGCUCGAGUCCGGAAGAGGAGAGUGGAAUUCCCGGUGUAGCGGUGAAAUGCGCAGAUAUCGGGAAGAACACCCGUGGCGAAGGCGGCUCUCUGGGACGGUACUGACGCUGAGACGCGAAAGCGUGGGGAGCGAACAGG
rnacentral:rRNA from 1 species